rnacentral:rRNA from 1 species
CUACGGGAGGCACCAGGCGAGAAAACUUUGCAAUGUGCGAAAGCACGACAAGGUUAAUCCGAGUGGUUUCUGCUAAAGGAACCUUUUGUUAGUCCUAGAAACACUGAUGAAUAAGGGGUGGGCAAGUUCUGGUGUCAGCCGCCGCGGUAAAACCAGCACCUCAAGUGGUCAGGAUGAUUAUUGGGCCUAAAGCAUCCGUAGCCGGCUUUGUAAGUUUUCGGUUAAAUCCAUACGCUCAACGUAUGGGCUGCCGGGAAUACUGCAAAGCUAGGGAGUGGGAGAGGUAGACGGUACUCGGUAGGAAGGGGUAAAAUCCUUUGAUCUAUUGAUGACCACCUGUGGCGAAGGCGGUCUACCAGAACACGUCCGACGGUGAGGGAUGAAAGCUGGGGGAGCAAACCGGAUUAGAUACCCGAGUAGUC